UACGGGGGGGGCAAGCGUUGUUCGGAAUUACUGGGCGUAAAGGGCCAGUAGGCGGCCAACUAAGUCCGACGUGAAAUCCCAAGGCUUAACCUUGGAACUGCGUCGGAUACUGGAUGGCUUGAAUUCGGGAGAGGGAUGCAGAAUUCCAGGUGUAGCGGUGAAAUUCGUAGAUAUCGGGAGGAACACCGGUGGCGAAGGCGGCGACCUGGGUCGAGACUGACGCUGAGGCGCGAAAGCGUGGGGAGCAAACAGG
rnacentral:rRNA from 1 species